rnacentral:rRNA from 1 species
AGAGUUUGAUCAUGGCUCAGGAUGAACGCUGGCGGCGUGCUUAACACAUGCAAGUCGAACGAAGCACUUAACUUGAUCUUCUUCGGAACUGAUUGUUUUGUGACUGAGUGGCGGACGGGUGAGUAACGCGUGGGUAACCUGCCUCACACAGGGGGACAACAGCUGGAAACGGCUGCUAAUACCGCAUAAGCGCACAGCUUCGCAUGGAGCAGUGUGAAAAACUCCGGUGGUGUGAGAUGGACCCGCGUCUGAUUAGCUGGUUGGCAGGGUAACGGCCUACCAAGGCGACGAUCAGUAGCCGACCUGAGAGGGUGACCGGCCACAUUGGGACUGAGACACGGCCCAAACUCCUACGGGAGGCAGCAGUGGGGAAUAUUGCACAAUGGGCGAAAGCCUGAUGCAGCGACGCCGCGUGAGCGAAGAAGUAUUUCGGUAUGUAAAGCUCUAUCAGCAGGGAAGAAAAUGACGGUACCUGACUAAGAAGCUCCGGCUAAAUACGUGCCAGCAGCCGCGGUAAUACGUAUGGAGCAAGCGUUAUCCGGAUUUACUGGGUGUAAAGGGAGCGUAGGCGGCAGGGCAAGUCUGAUGUGAAAACCCGGGGCUCAACCCUGGGACUGCAUUGGAAACUGUUCAGCUGGAGUGUCGGAGAGGCAAGCGGAAUUCCUAGUGUAGCGGUGAAAUGCGUAGAUAUUAGGAGGAACACCAGUGGCGAAGGCGGCUUGCUGGACGAUGACUGACGCUGAGGCUCGAAAGCGUGGGGAGCAAACAGGAUUAGAUACCCUGGUAGUCCACGCCGUAAA